CUCUCUCUUCUCCCUCGACAAAUUUUUUUCCCAAACUCUAUCUUUAUCCUGCGAUUCAAUUUGCAAUUGAGAGAUGUAUCCUUCGAGUCAUCCAUGCAUGUCGAAUCGAAUCGGUUCGUUGCUUUGAUGGGAGGAAUAUCUGCGAUUUUCUGGGUAGAGGGUGAUGGUGCGAAGGAAAACCCAGGCUCGAAAUUACUUGGAUUUGGUUCUUCUACUAGUUUGUUUCUUUGACUGAUGAUGAGGGUUAUCUCAAGGCUUGCAUGAUCUCGGAACACAAAGCUUGGUCUAACGGCCAAGGGUUGAUUUAAUGGUUGAGCUUCUCUAACCAGGAAAUCGAGUGGAGGAUCGGUUAAGUAACAAUGGAAUGAGGUGCACCACACAAGCUGUGAAAGGCUUGUGAUAAAACACAAGAGAUCUUUGGCUUAGGAGGAACUGGUUUCGACUAGAACAAAGAGAUUUAACAAGUUUUUCUUUGCUGAGAAAAGCUUGAAAGAAAAGUUCGAUUUUAUUGAUCAAAGUUCAAAAGAUUACACGGCCGUAAAGGGACUUAUAUAAUGUCCAAGCGGCUUAGACUCAAAAGAAAAAAAAAGACUAAAUGCGACAGGACUUGAAAAGGAAAAGUGCAACAUCAAAGGUAAAUAAACAAGGAAAACUAUAAAGAAAAUUCAAACUAAUAAGCUAAAGUCUGGACUAAAUUCUUGCGGCUGAAACACAACAAAGACAAUGAAAUUCAUUAGUCAAAUUAAUUGAAAGACUUACCUUAUUUGGGACCAUGAUUAACUCAUCUCCAAUCUUGUCUUUGACCACGCUUGAAUGCUCCCCUCUAGGCGUCUUGAUUCAUUCUCGAAAUGGUGAGUACUUGAACUUGGGCUUGUCUUUUCAAAAGAGGCCAACACUCUUGACUCUUUGGGCUGCUUGAUGGAGGAUCUUGAAAUGUCUUGGUCCAAACGUGUAGACAAUGAUCCAUUUCCUUUGGGCUUUCUUCUAGUUGCACUUGAUCUUCCUUUGUUAUCUCUUUAGUUGCGGCUUGUAUGCUUUGAUUGUAUUUGUGUUGUAGUAUCCUUGCUCUGGCCCUGGUUAUUGGUCCUUCAUGCAUCGUUGAGACCUCAAUGUCAAGGAGUUGGGGCUCGGUCAGAUCCGGUUCAGCUUCAAUAGGUGAAAUAGAGGCUGGUGUCGAGCGACACCACCAUCGAUGUCGCCUGUCACUUGUUUCUGUUCAAAAAAAUAAAAAAAAAUAAAGUAAUCAGGAAACCGGAGUCAAAGCAGAAAUUUGGAUGGGUUUGCUGCAAUUCAGUACAAAGAGAACGAGUGUCACACUACACCAUCAUCAGUGUCGGUCGACGCCAUCAUCGCAGCCAGGUAAGUUCUCCAUUUUUACUUGUUUCUUUAUUUAUUUUCUUUUGUUUCACCAACCUUAGUCUUGAUAACAUUGGGGACAGUGUUGUUUAAGUCUGGGGGAAGUGGUCGCUGUUAUUUUGUUUGUUUUUUCUUAAGAGUCAGUUGUGUCAAAUUGUUUUUGAGUCAAAACCUGUUGGAGAUUAUGAUGCUUUUCUUGGAUUGUUGUUCUGACCUAUCAUCUAAGUGACCAUUACUGCAGAAUCAGUCUAGAUCUGACUAAUGAAAUAUCCAAAGGUUGAUCAGUUGACUAGAGGCGUCCAUGUUUCCAACAAAGUCUACUAACCUAAGCUAAUUUCUGAACUCUUUCUUUUACCUCAUUGAUGUGACUGAUGUUCAUAGAGUUUGAUUCCUCAUUCAUACUUGACAAAUGAAAGCCUGUGUGAGAUCUAAAGUUGGUGCUUUGCUCCCUUAUGUUCAGUAUAAAAAGAAUGAAAAAGGCGAAAAGAUUGAGAUGAUUUUCUUCUAGGAGUAAAGGGCUAGGAAAAUUUCCAAUGAUCUCAUUAUUUUACUUUUAAGAAUGAAUGAUCACACAAAGAAAGGAAGCGAGGGGUAGAAAAGUUUCCUAUGACCCCAUUAUUCGCUGAAAACAAUUGAUACAUACUAAGGGGACAAAUCGGGGAUUCGAUGGCAAACACCAUCAAUACUCGCAUCUUUAACCUUACCGUGUAUGCCAUAAAAGAUGAGAGUGUGAAAAGAAUAAGUCUGGGGGAAGAGAAGAAGUACCAAAAUUUGUAUGGCUGAUUUGUCAAAGUAUAGUACGGGAAAGAGUCUAGAAGGUUCUUGGCACUAGAAUCAUUGAUGAGACCCAGCGAUGAGGGUUUAUGGACAAUGGUGUAGAUUUUGGAUUUAAUCUGAGAGGCUGUGAAUGUCUGCGGAGAACUACAUGGUGGUUCAAUUUGGAAUGAUGAAGCAGCAUGUGGAUUAUAAGGUGAUCGGUCAAAGCGAUGUUCCAUUGAAAAGUUGAAUCUCCGUGUUUUUCAAAUCUCUUUCUCUUGCUUGGUAUUCUGUUUGCUUGAGGGCAAGCAAAUGCUAAGUCUGGGGGAGUUGAUAUAAUGGUUUUUAUGGUUUUUGACCAUGAUAUAGGUCUUAUUUAUAGAGUUUUUUUAGUGUUUUAGAGUCUUUUGGAGUCUUUACAGGUCUUAGGUCCGUGUGGAGCUUAAUUGGAGAUUUUGGAUCACUUUGGAGCACUUUGGAGCAAAACAGGGAUCAAAUUUGUGAAGCAUGAAUUAUGUGCUUUAGUGUCGCUUGACACCAUGGAGAGUGACGCUCGACACCGAUCGCAGAAAUAAGAAAAACGUGAUUUUGUCUCAGUUUUGAAGAAUCUCUUGGGCCCAGAAAUCUCCAAUAUUUACAAGGAAGCCCAACACGUGUUUUUAGUAUUUAUUAGGGUUUUCAGCCAUGAUGAGCGUGUAAACACGGGGUUGGUUGUUUUCGUUUUACUAAGCUUCAGGUUUUAAAUUUAUA